rnacentral:ncRNA from 2 species
AAAAUAAGUAGUUAUAAAAGUUCUAUUUAAUAGAAUAAUAGGGAAAUUGGUGCAAAUCCAAUGCGAUCCCGUCACUGUGAUAAAGGGUUAAUUUUAAAACCACUGGAUAUAUAUCUGGGAAGGUAAAAUUAACAAUGCUUUUCAGCCAGGAUACCUGCUUUUAUAAUAAUUGAGAA